rnacentral:lncRNA from 1 species
AUGUAUAUGUAUUGUAAAGCUGUUCAUGGCGAGCUUGCUUGGGAGAUAGCUGAAGAGUUUGCAAGGGAGUAUGUGAGCUUGCCUUUUGAUGAUGGUAAAGUUCCUCACUUGGUCUCUGUAGCUUACAACAACAUCUGAUGAAUGAUGAUGAUGAUGAUGAUGAUGAUGAUGAUGAUGAAGUAAAGGUUCUGUUUGUUUUGUUGAUAUGGGUUUCCAAAGGUAGUGUUUUGAAAAUCUGGUCUUUUUGUAUGAUAGAGCAUGUU